rnacentral:rRNA from 1 species
ACGCUCGACACCUACGGGGGGCAGCGGUGGGGAAUAUUGCACAAUGGGGGAAACCCUGAUGCAGCGACGCCGCGUGAGCGAAGAAGUAUUUCGGUAUGUAAAGCUCUAUCAGCAGGGAAGAAACUGACGGUACCUGACUAAGAAGCACCGGCUAAAUACGUGCCAGCAGACGCGGUAAUCUGAGCGGGCUGGCAAGGC